GAUGAACGCUGGCGGCGUGCCUAAUACAUGCAAGUCGAGCGAACGGACGAGAAGCUUGCUUCUCUGAUGUUAGCGGCGGACGGGUGAGUAACACGUGGAUAACCUACCUAUAAGACUGGGAUAACUUCGGGAAACCGGAACUAAUACCGGAUGAUAUUUUGAACCGCAUGGUUCAAAAGUUAAAGACGGUCUUGCUGUCACUUAUAGAUGGAUCCGCGCUGCAUUAGCUAGUUGGUAAGGUAACGGCUUACCAAGGCAACGAUGCAUAGCCGACCUGAGAGGGUGAUCGGCCACACUGGAACUGAGACACGGUCCAGACUCCUACGGGAGGCAGCAGUAGGGAAUCUUCCGCAAUGGGCGAAAGCCUGACGGAGCAACGCCGCGUGAGUGAUGAAGGUCUUCGGAUCGUAAGACUCUGUUAUUAGGGAAGAACAUAUGUGUAAGUAACUGUGCACAUCUUGACGGUACCUAAUCAGAAAGCCACGGCUAACUACGUG
rnacentral:rRNA from 1 species